rnacentral:piRNA from 1 species
UGAGCACAAAACAACUCAGUAAUGUCUUAG